UACGAAGGGGGCUAGCGUUGCUCGGAAUCACUGGGCGUAAAGCGCACGUAGGCGGCUUGUUAAGUCAGGGGUGAAAUCCUGGAGCUCAACUCCAGAACUGCCUUUGAUACUGGCGAUCUUGAGUCCGGGAGAGGUGAGUGGAACCGCGAGUGUAGAGGUGAAAUUCGUAGAUAUUCGCAAGAACACCAGUGGCGAAGGCGGCUCACUGGCCCGGUACUGACGCUGAGGUGCGAAAGCGUGGGGAGCAAACAGG
rnacentral:rRNA from 1 species